UCAACCCCCAAAUUCUAUCAUCGUUUUUGAACGGAAGCUACAAUCAACAUGAAACUGAUACUGUUCACUGCUGUGCUCGCUGUCUUGGCGUCCAACUGCUUUGCUCAAGAUGGAGCUACUCCAAGUCAUGAUCUACCAACUGAAGUUCCAGCAACUGUAUCAGUACCUAAGCUAAGGCUGCUUCUUGAAAUACAAGGUUGAUUAAAAUAUUAAAUUUAUGAUGGAAAUGGAA
rnacentral:sRNA from 1 species